UUGGUGCCCUCCAGCUGCGCCACAGAGGCGGUGUCGAGCAGGAGGCGGCCCUGAAAUCGGGAAGCUGGGCGCUCCCGCCCCUCAACCAGCUGCAGAAAAAGCUUACACCUGCUCCUCCGGGCGACCUCAUGCUGAAGGACUGAACCCCGUAUCCUAGCCGCGUCACCACCCCCACCCUCUGGCCUGGGCUGCUCUGAGGGCGAGUCUGGGAUCUCCAGCUCGCCUGACCUCCCACCCCUCCCCUAGGGCAGCGCAGGGCUCAUUUUGCUCUGUGCCUCCAGGACUUGGUUCUGGUCGACCCAUACCUACUUGAUGGCCACCUCUGGCUGCACAAGGCUGCUCAGGGCAGGAGAGGCAAGAACCUGGACCACAGCUGCACUGAUCAAAUCCUUUAAGGAAGGGAGUGCUACAUGCCUGCCUGGUGAACCACUGUUAGGGAACGUGGGGGCUGCAGGUGGCUUAGCAGGUAAGCGUGCUGUCCCUAGGCAGCAGCUCACAGAUGGGGGGGCCCUCUUCCCGCCUCCACAAAGACAUCUGUAUGCAGGUCACCUCAGCUGGAUGACUGUUAACAGAGCCUGGAGGAAGCCUGGAGUUGGCAGGGGAAGACCAAGCACCAUUGAUACUUCUCUGCAGAGGCAAACACCUCUGCCUGAAGUUACCUCUAGUUCCGCCUUAUGCCCCAACGCUAACACCGGCCAGAAGAAAAUGAGCCGCAGAGAGAGGAGGUGAAGUCUCUUCCCUGGCUGGGUCAGAAGACUCUGUUUCCUUUUCCAUUUCAGAAAGACGACUGGAAAUCUGGAUGAAUAAAGAAGGAUGAAACAUGCAGAGACUCAAACUUAGACUAAGCAUAUAUUUUAAUUUCUACAAGGUCCCCCUUUCAAGUUUUAGGGAAAUUUAAAUGAAAUGUAUACAAAUUAGACACUACCAAUAUGUACAAAAGUAUUUUCUACAGUUUUUGAACAAUAUCAGCUAUAUCGUUUCAUUUGCAGUAAACAGGACGUUACAAAAACAGUCCAAUGAUGCAUUUUCUAUUAAGAAGCACAAAACACGAUGUAAUUCAACUUUAUUAAAAAAUAACUUAAAAUACAGAAUAAUCCCCUUUAGAAAGAAAAGCUAUUUCUGUAGUCCAUUCAGUAAACACACAAGUUAAAUGCUGCAGCUGAGGGCUGUUCUUUCCCAUGAAGAGAACAAACGAGGCUUCUAGGGCCCACCUUUUCAGGAUGAAAGUCUACCCACAGUACACAGCAAAGCUAUUGCCCGUGGGAGGCAGAAUUCUAAAAUGCCCCUCCUAUUUCAUGCCCCCAUCCCAGGAACCUGGGAAUAUGAUCUCACUUCUGUGAUUAUGAGAUGUUCUAUGGCACUGUUGACCUUAAUACAGGGAGACUGUCUCAGUGGGCCUGAUCUAGUCUCAGCAUGAACCUGAAACCAGAGAAGAAAGGCAGAGAGAUCUGAAGCACAAGAAGGCCUCGACAGGCCCUUGCUGGUUUGAAGACAGAGGGAACCCAUGAGGAACGUGAGCAGCCUUAAGGAGCCGAGAGAGGCCCCCGGCUGCAGCCAGCAAGGAACUGAAUACUGCCAACAACCUGAAUGAACUCGGAAGGAGAUUCUUCCCCAGAGCCUCUAUGAAGGAAUGCUGCCCUGCUGACCCUGGAUUUCAGCCUUGUGAGACCCUGAGCAGAGAAUCCAGCCACAUCGUGCCGGACUCAUGAGCUACAGAACCGUGAGCUAAGAAAUGGGUGUUGCUUUAAGCUGCUACAUUUGGGGUAAUUUGUUACAAAGCAAUAGAAAACUAAUACACUGCCAAAAGGUAACUUUUCUUAACGUAAUUAGAUUUGGCAGUUUUUGUUUGGGUUGUAAAUGCAGUUUCUUUCACUGAGUAUUGUUAAAGAUACUCUCCUCCAGAGGCAACUUUUAAAAACCCUUCAUAUAAACCACAUGUUGUUUUGUAUUCACUAUCAAGCAUGUUUGUUUGACUUAGGUCCUAUUUUCUAAUGCAUUUUCAUCUAUCAACUUGGCAAACAACUGGACCCCUUAACCCUGUUUAUGAACCUUUUAUGGGCAAUGGUUUUAAUACAUCCAAGGUCACCCCUCCAUCCAUCAGGGUGGUCAGAUCCCUCCAACUGAGGGCUCUUUCCCACUUCCCAAGUACCCUAGGCAAGCCCUGGGGUAGGAUGGCAGAGUUCUGCAUCAAACAUCCAAUAUGAAUUUCUUCUGCAUACCUGGAUUAAACUGGCACUGAGGUGAUUAAGUACACUUGGAGAAAAAAAUUCAAACUAAA